rnacentral:tRNA from 16 species
UGGCCUAGCGGCAGCACGGUACAUUUUUAACCGCACUACCAUGGUUCAACUCCCGGU